UGAGGUUACCCGCCGAAUUUAAGCAUAUAAUUCAGCGGAGGAAAAGAAAUCAAAUGAGAUUCCCUGAGUAACGGCGAGUGAAAAGGGAUGAGUCCGGCGCAAAGGUUUCCCAUUGAAAGGUGGGAAGCGGUGCUGCGUAAUGGCUAAAGUCACGAUUAUUUCAACUAAAUCUGCAAGUCCCUCUGACAAGGGCCCUCUUCCCAGAGACGGUUCUAGGCCGGUGGCAGAUCUUGGUAACUGAAAUAUCGAUUACUGGCUUUAGUCGCGGAUAGAGUCAGAUUGCUUGAGAGUGCAAUCCAAAUUGGGAGGUAAACUCCUCCCAAGACUAAAUACGAUGGUAAUAUCGAUAGCAAACAAGUACCGUGAG
rnacentral:rRNA from 1 species